GAUAUGUCUUUGAAUGCUUGUAACAAGUCUGUUAAGAUUGUACAGAUAAUUUCUUGAAAAUCUUAUAGAAAAUUCUAGUGUUUGCUGUUGUCUUCUUUUCAAAUCACUAUCACCAUCUGGUAAAGGAAUUCUGCAUAAUCUAAAUGAUAUUUCAUCUAGUAGUUCAGCAAUUUUCUUUUGCAUCGAUAAUAGUUUCUGUAUGGUAAAUGGAUCUGGUUGUAUAUAAACAAUAUCAUCUUUGUUAUUACUUGAAUCUGUAUCAGAAUUAUUCUCAAAAUGGUUGGUUGCACGAAGAAGUUGAUUCACUAUAUAUAUAAAUAUUACUGCCUCGAGAAGUUGGAACUGAAACAUUAGUUUUACAUGUACCCCUAUUCUUUGUUAUCAUUUUCUCCUUUGAAUAAUUGUUCUUGGUGCUGUUUA
rnacentral:misc_RNA from 1 species